rnacentral:rRNA from 1 species
GAUGAACGCUGGCGGCGUGCCUAAUACAUGCAAGUCGAGCGAACAGAUGAGGAGCUUGCUCCUUUGACGUUAGCGGCGGACGGGUGAGUAACACGUGGAUAACCUACCUAUCAGACUGGGAUAACUUCGGGAAACCGGAGCUAAUACCGGAUAAUAUCUUGAACCGCAUGGUUCAAUAGUGAAAGACGGCUUUGCUGUCACUUCUAGAUGGAUCCGCGCCGCAUUAGCUAGUUGGUAAGGUAACGGCUUACCAAGGCAACGAUGCGUAGCCGACCUGAGAGGGGGAUCGGCCACAUGGGAACGGAGACACGGUCCAGAGUCCUACGGUAGGCAGCAGUAGGGAACCUUCGGCAAUGGGCGAAAGCCUGACGGAGUAACGCCGCGUGAGUGAUGAAGGCCUUCGGAUCGUAAUACUCGGUUAUUAGGGAAGAACAAAUUUGUAAGUAACUGUGCACUUCUUGACGGUACCUGAUCAGAAAGCCACGGCUAACUACGUG